UACGGAGGGUGCGAGCGUUGUUCGGAAUCACUGGGCGUAAAGGGCGUGUAGGCGGUCCGCUAAGUCUGAUGUGAAAGCCCCGGGGCUCACCCCCCGGAAGUGCAUUGGAAACUGGCGAACUCGAGUCCCGGAGAGGAGAGUGGAAUUCCUGGUGUAGCGGUGAAAUGCGUAGAUAUCUGGAGGAAUACCGGUGGCGAAGGCGGCAUCCUGGACCGGCAUUGACGCUGAGGAGCGAAAGCCAGGGGAGCAAACGGG
rnacentral:rRNA from 1 species